UACGAGGGGGGCGAGCGUUGUUCGGAAUUAUUGGGCGUAAAGGGUGCGUAGGCGGUUUGGUAAGUCUGAUGUGAAAUCUAUGGGCUCAACUCAUAGUCUGCAUCGGAAACUGCCGGGCUUGAGUGUGGGAGAGGUGAGUGGAAUUCCUGGUGUAGCGGUGAAAUGCGUAGAUAUCAGGAGGAACACCUGCGGUGUAGACGGCUUUCUGGACCAUUGUUGACGCUGAGACACGAAAGCGUGGGUAGCAAACAGG
rnacentral:rRNA from 1 species